GACGAACGCUGGCGGCGUGCCUAACACAUGCAAGUCGAACGGACAAGUCCAGCUCUUGCGGGGUGUUCGAGUGGCGAACGGGUGAGUAACACGCGUGUACCCCGUCCUCUGUUUAGGGAUAUAUCCCGGAAAAUGGGGCUAUUACACCAUAUAACCCCAUAUUUCAUGGGACGUUUCGGUAAAAUUCGGCGGUUGGUGAUGGUCUCGCGGCUUAUCAGCUUGUUGGUGGGGUAGUGGCUUACAACGGCUUAGCCGGGUAGCCGGCCUGAGAGGGUGACCGGCCACAUUGGGACUGAGAUACGGCCCAGACGGCUACGGGAGGCAGCAGUGGGGAAUAUGGCACAAUGGGCGGAAGCCUGAUGCAGCAACGCCGCGUGCGGGAUGACGGCCUGCGGGUUGUAAACCGCUUACGCCUGUGACGAAGCGUGAGUGACGGUAAUGGGUAAAGAAGCACCGGCUAACUACGUG
rnacentral:rRNA from 1 species